UACGUAGGCAGCGAGCGUUGUUCGGAGUUACUGGGCGUAAAGAGUGCGUAGGCGGUUUUCUAAGUUUGGUGUGAAAUCUCCCGGCUUAACUGGGAGGGUGCGCCGAAGACUGGAAGGCUUGAGUAUGGGAGAGGUAAGCGGAAUUCCUGGUGUAGCGGUGAAAUGCGCAGAUAUCAGGAGGAACAUCUAUUGCGAAGGCAGCUCGCUGGGACGUAACUGACGCUGAGACGCGAAAGCGUGGGGAGCAAACAGG
rnacentral:rRNA from 1 species